rnacentral:rRNA from 1 species
AUUGAACGCUGGCGGCAUGCUUUACACAUGCAAGUCGAACGGCAGCGCGGGCUUCGGCCUGGCGGCGAGUGGCGAACGGGUGAGUAAUGCAUCGGAACGUGCCCAGUAGUGGGGGAUAGCCCGGCGAAAGCCGGAUUAAUACCGCAUACGACCUGAGGGUGAAAGCGGGGGACCGAAAGGCCUCGCGCUAUUGGAGCGGCCGAUGUCGGAUUAGCUAGGUGGUGGGGUAAAGGCUUACCAAGGCGACGAUCCGUAGCUGGUCUGAGAGGACGACCAGCCACACUGGGGCUGAGACGCGGCCAGACUCCUACGGGAGGCAGCAGUGGGGAAUUUUGGACAAUGGGGGCAACCCUGAUCCAGCCAUGCCGCGUGCGGGAAGAAGGCCUUCGGGUUGUAAACCGCUUUUGUUCGGGAAGAAAUACUCUGGGCUAAUACCCCGGGGGGAUGACGGUACCGGAAGAAUAAGCACCGGCUAACUACGUG